GGAAGUGGUCUGUUGCAGGUGUCAGUCACAGCCAGAGAGGAUGUACCUCCCUUUGGUCCCUCCCUCCCUGAUCCUCCCAUAUUCACAGAGAGCUCCCUGUUGAGAGAGUUCCUUCUGACCAAGCUUAUCAAUGCAGAGAUCUCCUGUUAUAAGGCUGAGAGGUUCAGUAGACUGGAGCUGCGCACUCGUUCGUCCUCCUGGAGGGUCUGCAGGCGGAACUGUCCACCCGCUCCCAGUGCAUGAUUGGAGAUUCGCCUGUG